rnacentral:ncRNA from 2 species
CGGUCCAAGGAGCGUUGCAACGCGGCACCCUGCUGCGUCAGGCUUGGGCCAGGCGCCGGCAAAGACACGCCGCCGCGCCCUGCCGACAACGACGCUCACCUGUU